CUAAGUUUGAUGGCGACCGGCGCACGGGUGAGUAACACGUAUCCAACCUGCCGAUGACUCGGGGAUAGCCUUUCGAAAGAAAGAUUAAUACCCGAUAGCAUAAUGAUUCCGCAUGGUUUCAUUAUUAAAGGAUUCCGGUAAAGGAUGGGGAUGCGUUCCAUUAGGUUGUUGGUGAGGUAACGGCUCACCAAGCCUUCGAUGGAUAGGGGUUCUGAGAGGAAGGUCCCCCACAUUGGAACUGAGACACGGCCCAAACUCCUACGGGAGGCAGCAUG
rnacentral:rRNA from 1 species